rnacentral:rRNA from 1 species
UACAGAGGUCCCAAGCGUUGUUCGGAUUCACUGGGCGUAAAGGGUGCGUAGGCGGCAAUUCAAGUCAGCUGUGAAAUCUCCGAGCUUAACUCGGAACGGUCAGCUGAUACUGUUUUGCUAGAGUACAGAAGGGGCAAUCGGAAUUCUUGGUGUAGCGGUGAAAUGCGUAGAUAUCAAGAGGAACACCUGAGGUGAAGACGGGUUGCUGGGCUGAUACUGACGCUGAGGCGCGAAAGCUAGGGUAGCAAACGGG